rnacentral:tRNA from 1 species
UCUGGUAAAAAAGAGACUCAAACUCCCCUGAAUGAAUUUACAACUCACCGCCUAAUCCCUCGGCCACUUUACCU